GACGAACGCUGGCGGCGUGCUUAACACAUGCAAGUCGAACGGAAAGGCCCUGCUUUUGUGGGGUGCAUGAGUGGCGAACGGGUGAGUAAAACGUGAGUAUAAUGCCCUUGACUUUGGGAUAACAUCAGGAAACUGGGGCUAAUAUAGGAUAGGAGAUCCUGAUGCAUGGGGGGGGAUGGAGAGAGUCGGCGGUUUGGGAUGGAAUCGAGGCUUAUCAGCUUGAUGGUCGAGUAGGGGCUUACAAGGGUUUUGACGGGUAGCCGGCCUGGGAGGGUGACCGGCCACAUGAGGACUGAGAUACGGCCCAGACUCCUACGGGAGGCAACAGGGGGAAAUAUUGCACAAUGGGCGGACGCCUGAUGCAGCAACGCCGCGUGCGGGAUAACGGCCUUCGGGUUGUAAACCGCUUUCGCCUGAGACGAAGCGUUAGUGACGGUAAUGAGUAAAGAAGCACCGGCUAACUACGUG
rnacentral:rRNA from 1 species